GCAAGUCGAGGGGUAACAGGAGAAAGCUUGCUUUUUCGCUGACGACCGGCGCACGGGUGCGUAACGCGUAUGCAAUCUACCUCUUACUGGGGAAUAGCCCGGAGAAAUCCGGAUUAAUGCCCCAUAGUAUUUUCAUUUCGCAUGAUUUGAAAAUUAAAGGUUACGGUAAGAGAUGAGCAUGCGUCCCAUUAGCUAGAUGGUAAGGUAACGGCUUACCAUGGCAACGAUGGGUAGGGGGCCUGAGAGGGUGAUC
rnacentral:rRNA from 1 species